rnacentral:tRNA from 1 species
GGGCGAAUACCAAAGUAGUCAACUGGGUCUGACUGUAAAUCAGAUGGCUUCGGCCUUCGGGGGUGCAAAUCCCUCUUCGCCCA